GAACGAACGCAUAAUUUUUUAAAUUAAUAAUAAAAAAAUUUUUUAAAUUUAUUACAUAAUUAUUUUUGAAAAAAUGUUUUACAGUUUAUUGUACUGUAUCUAAUAAUGCAGUAAAAUCUUAAGUGGUUGCAUACAAAAGAUAUAAUGAAAAUGUAAAAUCAAGUAUUCAGUUAAAUGUAGGAACGCGUAUGCAAUUUUUUAUUCACUAAUGGAUAGCGAAUUUUCCAGCAUAUGGAAAAAUAUGUUUAAGAUUUUAUGAAAAUUAUGCAGUAUAAAAUUUUUGUAUAAGUUAAAAUAAUUUUUUAUAUAAAUACUAUACGUGGAAAAUUAUGAAUUUAUAAAAAAUAAACCGGAGUUCGCGGCCAGCGCAACGGACUUUUUACCAGUAAUCGAUGUUAAGUUUAUCGAAAGCCGGGCGACAAUCACCGGAAACUGUCGCAUUGUGGAGAUUGAAGCAUCAGCUAACAGAAGUUACCGGCAAACCGAAUUCAGGAGACAAUAUAAAUUUGCUUACUACGAUAAGCGUUAGUAUUGUUAUUAUAAUAUCUUCUCAAAAUGAAAAACUUUGUGAAAUGCGCGGCAUUACUAUAAUUUAUAAUCACAGGUGGAAUAAAAUGAUGUUCAGUUACUAAAAAAUUCUCUUAAGGCUACUUUAUGGCUGUAAAUUAAAAGUUUAUCACGUAAUCGUAAAACUUUCAUAUCAUUAUUUAACAGCGCGUAAGAAUAAGAUGC
rnacentral:lncRNA from 1 species